AGUCGGAUAAGGCGUUCACGCCGCAUCCAGCGGUUGCGCUCCGAUGCCUGAUGCGACGCUGACGCGUCUUAUCAUGCC
rnacentral:ncRNA from 1 species